AACACAGGCCUCAGUAUAAGGCUGUAGAGGCUUAAGCUGAGAGCGUCACACAACUCCUAAACUUCCUUACAUGCACUUUUUGGUUCCAGCUACGGAGCUGGGGGCACCUGGAGGACACUGGCUUGGCAGAGCUGCCCUUCGGGAGUGGUCCUGGGAGACUGGGACAUAUGGGAACUCCAGGAAACCUGGGGCCUCUUCCAGGCAAGCAGGAUGUCCAGGGUUCUGACAUUGACUGGACUCCCUGCAAGUCAUGGCUGAGUGAGGCCUUAAGGAGCAACGCAAAGCAAAGGGCAAGGAGGUGGCCAUGGCUGUUCCACACUGCCCACCCGGUGUCUGGGGGAAGAGAUGGAGGAAUACUACUGGAC
rnacentral:lncRNA from 1 species